rnacentral:lncRNA from 1 species
UUGGUCCUCAAUGCUCUUCAACUUCGUACUUUAUUUGGCCUUUUUAACUUUUUUUGGAUUCGAGCGUCACUGAUGAGUCUUUUGUAGACGAAACGCGCUUCUGGCGUAUAUACUAAAUUUAGUCCUGGUAUCUAUGAUGAGUUUAUUUACAACCACUGGGUCGAUGUCACUGCUGGUGGAGAUUUAUUUCCCCGAGGGUAUCA